GGCCUCUUUGUGUUUUCCAACACAGGAAAGAACCAAGAGCUGGUGAGGAAGCUUAAAGGAUACCUGUGUAAUCCCGGUCAGCUCGGUGCAGAACCCAGACAGGAUGGGAUGCUCCUGGGGCUGAACGUACGUGUGAAACUCAGACUCGACUUCCCCCGAGGAGGUGUUGAGCAAGACGGCAGGAAACUCAACUGAGGGAGGGUGGAAAGAAAAGAGGGAGACGUGUAAUACGUGUGGAAAAGAUAAGUGGUCCAACAUGGGGUGAAAUAAAUCAGCGUGGUACUCACUGAC